rnacentral:rRNA from 1 species
CACGUAUGGGACGAGCGUUGUUCGGAAUUAUUGGGCGUAAAGGGCGCGUAGGCGGUUUCAUAAGCUUGGUGUCAAAGGCGCUGGCUCAACCAGUGUUGUGCAUUGGGAACUGUGAGACUGGAGUUCAGGAGGGGAAGCUGGAAUUCCUGGUGUAGGGGUGAAAUCUGUAGAUAUCAGGAAGAACACCGGUGGCGAAGGCGAGCUUCUAUCCAUGGACUGACGCUGAGGCGCGAAAGCGUGGGGAGCGAACAGGAUUAGAUACCCCCGUA